AUUGUACUUCCUCCGUCCGGAAAUACUUGUCGAAGAAAUGCAUAAAAAUGAAUGCAUCUAAAACUAAAAUACAUCUAGAUACAUCCAUUCCUCCGACGAGUAUUUCCGGACGGAGGGAGUAGUAU
rnacentral:pre_miRNA from 1 species